GGGCCCGCAGGAGCUGCCUCAGGAGCAGCUGAGCGGCGUGUCGCAGGAGUUCUGCUUCCGGUCCCCAAAGAUGGCUGACGGACCAAAAGUGUAUAAGAAGACCUGUGCCAAUGAGAAGUUAUCCAUCUACCUGGGAAAGCGAGACUUUGUGGAUCACGUGGAAUCUGUGGAACCUGUUGAUGGAGUUGUUUUGCUAGACCCAGAAACCGUGAGUGACAGGAAAGUCUAUGUGACCCUCACAUGUGCAUUCCGGUAUGGUCGAGAUGACCUGGAUGUCAUUGGGUUGACCUUCAGGAAGGAUCUCUAUGUCCUCACAACUCAACUUUACCCACCAGUGCCAGACCAGGCUCCGAAGACUCUCACACCCUUACAGGACAAGUUGAUGAAGAAGUUAGGAGAACAUGCUUACCCGUUCACCUUUGAGAUGGCGACCAAUCUGCCCUGUUCAAUCACACUGCAGCCAGGAGCAGAUGACACUGGAAAGUCCUGUGGUGUGGAUUUUGAGGUGAAGGCGUUUUGUGCUCAAGACCCAGAAGAGAAAAUUUCUAAGAAGAACUCCGUGCGGCUGGUCAUCCGGAAGGUGCAGUUCGCCCCCACCCUCACGGGCACCUCGCCCAAAACUCAAGUAAACAAGCAGUUCAUGAUGUCAGACAAGCCGCUGCACCUCGAGGCGUCCAUGGACAAGGAGAUUUAUUACCAUGGGGACCCGAUUGGAGUGAAUGUGGACAUAAACAAUACUACCAGCAAGAUUGUGAAGAAAAUUAAAAUAUCAGUUGACCAGCUGACAGAUGUGGUUCUCUAUUCCCUGGAUAACUAUACGAAGACGGUCUGCUCAGAGGAAUUUGUGGAGAACGUGGCUGCAAACUCCACUUUCUACAAAACGUUCACGGUGACUCCCUUGUUGUCCAAGAAUCGCGAGAAGCGUGGUUUGGCUCUGGAUGGGAAGCUGAAGCACGAGGACACCAACCUGGCUUCCAGCACCAUUCUGAGGCCUGGGAUGGACAAAGAGGUUCUGGGCAUCCUGGUUUCCUACAAAGUGAAGGUCACCUUGGUGGUAUCGAGAGGAGGCAUCCUGGGAGAUCUCACAUCAAGUGAUGUCUCUGUUGAGAUGCCGCUUAUCCUGAUGCAUCCUAAGCCCCCCGAAAGUAAGUGUUGUUUAGGAAGCCCCCCGGCCUCGCUGUCUCAAGACCAGGUGGCUUUGGGGGAAUGCCAGGCUCUGGGAAACGCUCCAGUUCUCCAAACUGGAAUCAGCCACAGGCCCCCCUCCUUCAGUGAUGGGAGAAAUCCAGGGGCCACUGAUGGAGUUGGGGGCGGAUGCGAAGGGCCUAUCUUUGGGGGUACCCCGUCUCCCCAAAGGACCCAAAGCAGGCAGCAAAUGUCUGCUUUUGGGGGAGGAUUUCAUGCUGCUCUUAGAAAUGGACAUUGGAACUAGGUUGUUAAUAGAGAUGCGCUUUCCCCAUUCUUAAAAGCAUAAAAAAGGCUGCCUGGAACACAUUGGCCUCUCCCUUCCUUCCAGCAGAGGAGGUGGGGGAGAGGAGUGAAGGAGACCCCCAAACCUUCGAAAGUGGCCCCUCCCUGCCCUGCCCUUGCGGGGAUCAGCUUCUCCCAGCAACAAGCAGGACCUGCUGGGGACUCCGGUUCAUGGGCCCUUCAAACUCUCUGGUCCAGUGGAGCCAAAGGAUCACUAUGGAUUACUGACUCACCUUUCCACAUCUCUGCUAAAAACACAUCUAGAUAUUCAGACUUAAUACAUGGCAGAUUUUACAGGGGAAAAAACUGCAGGGGGAAAAAAAAUCAAAACCCACUUUCUAGACUUCCAGCCAUCUUUUCAGAAGGGCAGGUAAGAGGGUCCCAAGACCAACCUGGGGAAUCAGAAUGAGACUCGGGGCGAACCACAGCCGAGGGGGUCGUGGUAACCAGGAGGCUGACAGGAAGGAGCUGCUUCCCGUCCCAGAGGGGCAACAGGCAGCCUCCCUCAGCUAGCCAUGGCCUCCCCUUCUCCCCACUCUCCCCGCGUCUCACUCCUUUGUGAGAAGAAUAUUGAAAUUCCAAGUCGGUGGAGGGCUGGAUUCCUCUCCUGAUUAUUUAAACCAGGGGUCUCCAACCUUGGCAACUUUAAGCCUGGCGGACUUCAACUCCCAGAAUUCCCCAGCCAGCAAAGCUGGCUUAAAGUUGCCAAGGUUGGAGACCCCUGGUUUAGGGGAGGUGCAAUUGAUUGGAAGUUCUCCCUAAAACCUUAAAGUUGCCAGGUUGGAGACCCCUUGAUUUAAACGCCUUUUUCAUUUUAUGAAAAUUCCGAGAAUUGAAGUCCUGAAAGUUGCGAAGGUUGAGACAUGCUGGUCUAAAGCAGAGAUUCUCAACCUUAGCAAGAUUUUUUUAUUUAUGAAAAAAAAAAUGAAAUGGGAUUCUUUUUCCAAGCCCGGCCUUCCAACCACUGGAUCAGUGGUGGGAUUCAGCCGGUUCGCACCACUUCGGGAGAACCGGUUGUUAACUUUCUGAGCAGUUUGGCGAACUGGUUGUUGGGAGAAGUCAUUAGGGCAGAGAACCGGUUGUUAAAUUAUUUGAAUCCCACCAUUGCGCUGGAUCCUUCCUCAUCCAAUGACCAGCCCCCUCUCAGUCGACUCUUCCCCCCCCCCCAGGAGUUCUGAUCAUUUUGGUGCCAAGAGAGGGAGCCUGACCACAUAUUUAAAUGGCACCAUUGAUGCUCCAGAAUGGAGUGGUUCCAACACCAGUGCCCGAAGGUAAACAAUAACACCCCUCUAACAAACAAAACACACACACACAAACAAAUACACACAUAUCAAUAAUUAGCAAGUGCAUCUAACUGCCAGAGCCCAAUGCUGGGGAAGCACCUGGACUUCCAGACCUUGCAAAAGCUAAGUUCCUUGAAUAAUCUCCUUUUUUUAUUGCCCCCGGCCCCACUGACAAGAGUUGUUUCAUGAGGGGCAAAUCCAGUGGUGGGAUUCAGCCAGUUCGCACUUAUUCGGGAGGACCGGUUGUUAUCUUUCUAAGUAGUUCGGAGAACCAGUUGUGGGAAGAAAUCUUAUUUUGUUUUUUUCCACUUUACAGGGCUAAUCCUGUAAGGAAGGCAGGAAGGAAACAUUCUGCUGGUGUUUCUAGCCUAACCUUUAUUGCCUUGCUUACAGAAACUGCCUCUCUGGUUAACCCUUAUUACAUUGUAACAGCUAAGGCGAAGCGCCCAUUGACCUGAGUGAUGUUGAGUUGGCCACGCCCACACAACCCUGAGCCACGCCUACCCAGCUGGUCAUUAGGGCAGAGAACCGGUUGUUAAAUUAUUUGAAUCCCACCAUUGGGCAAAUCCCAUCAGUUGGAGGGCUGCACCAGGCUGAAGGUUGACCUGAGAAGUGGACCUGCUUGCUUGGUGAUUCUGUGUGCGUUGGUGUGUGUGUGUGUUGCACCUGGCCAGCUAAUAGGUACAGAUGGGCAGGGAGUUUUUGUUCAAUUCAUUGUGAUUAAUGUGACUAAAUGGCACCUGCAUUUCUCUUUCAUCCUCUGCCUCUUCCUGAUUGACAGCAAUAACCAGCGAUGACAUUAUGGUUGAGGAAUUCGCCCGCCAGAAACUCGGAGGAGAAGGGGAAAGUGAGGACGAGGAGGAAGGAGGAAAAAGCUAAUGCUCAACUGUCUUCAGUAGGGGCUACUCCAGUGUUUCAAAGCCGAAAUUAUUUAGGGCAUUUUCAUGAGUUCCGUGCAUUUUACCUUAAUAUUUCAGUAUUGUGUUUGUAAUGUGAUAAUUUCUCGUAAGCCUAUUGUAAGGAUCGCCUCUCCUUCCAACUUAAGAAAGUAAGAACUCUUGAAAUGUGGUUGUUCAAAAGGAUUCUUUUAUUAAGCAGAAGUGAAAGCCAUCCAGUUAAAGCACGAUCUGGAUACCCUUAGGCAAGACAAAUAGGAUUAAGGCAGUAGAGACCCCUCCCUUUAAGCCAGAAUGCAGAUUUUAACCAAUACACAAGUGUGAAGAUGUUUUCUUUCCUAGCUUCCCUGAGAACCCGAACAACCGUGCAUUCACACUGUUAUCCUUUAAAGUGAAACAACCCACAUGGCUAUCAUGAACAUUCCUCCAGGUAAAGAGGAUCUCAGGGCUCUUUGGCACCAGGAUAUAGGUUGUAAAAUAUCUGUUGACACAGGCACUGCUAUUAAAUCGAAUCCAAGUCUCCCCCAUCCUUCAGUUUGAAUGGCAGUAUCACUUUUAGGGAUCUGACACCUAUUUUUUCCGCUGUGUUUAAUGCGUUUUGCAGAAGACUCGCUGUACUCCGAUGUUUUCCCCAUAAGCCUGAAAGCAUGAAGGAGAAAGCCAGCCACGCACCAAGGUGGCUCCUCCACUCCUUCAUUUUGCCUGCUUCCUUUCCCCAAGCCCGGCCUUCCAGCCGCUGGACCCUUCCUGAUCCAAUAAACAGUCCCCCCUCUCAAUUGACUCCCCCCCCCAGGAGAUUCUGAUCAUUUUAGUGCAGUUGGAGCUGACCUGACAACCCUUUCCUAAGAAUUAUUGGUAUUAUUGGAAAAAGCUGAUUAUCCAGAUAUCCUGUGAUUGUGUGAAUAAAUGUUACUCUAUCAAAA